GUGCAGCAGGCGAGAAUCCUCCGCAAUGCGCGAAAGCGCGACGAGGCCACCCCGAGUGCCGCCCGCUGAGGGCGGCUUUUCCCCGGUGUAGACAGCCGGGGGAAUAAGGGGAGGGCAAGUCUGGUGUCAGCCGCCGCGGUAAUACCAGCUCCCCGAGUGGUGGGGACGAUUAUUGGGCCUAAAGCGUCCGUAGCCGGCCCGGCAAGUCUCCCGUUAAAUCCAGCGAUCUAAUCGCUGGACUGCGGGAGAUACUGUCGGGCUAGGGGGCGGGAGAGGCCGGCGGUAUUCCCGGGGUAGGGGUGAAAUCCUAUAAUCCCGGGAGGACCACCAGUGGCGAAGGCUGCCGGCUGGAACGCGCCCGACGGUGAGGGACGAAAGCCGGGGAGCGAACCGGAUUAGAUA
rnacentral:rRNA from 1 species